rnacentral:lncRNA from 10 species
UUGAUGUCAGCAACUGAUCAUUGAUCAUCUCUGGCCCCACCUCUUCUCUGGAGCUCGACUUCUUCAAGAAAACUGGAAACAAAGGGAUGGCAAGACCAACUCUCAGGACCCUUGCCCUUCCAUCCCAUGAUGCUUUUAGACAGUUCCCAGGGGCCACCUUUUUCAGGAAGAAUUAUCAGGAUAUAGGAAAGUAAAGGGAGGAAACGUGUUUUGAGUGGCACUUAGAUCAGGCUCUAGACUGGGUGUUGGUUUGGUGGGGUUUGCUUUUUCUCCCGCCCCACACCCCUUCACAAAACCUGGGUCCUGGCUAGGCUGGGAGUGAGAUUCCUGUGUCUAGAUUUUCAUCAUUCCGUGUUGCACAGGAAGUCUAGGGAAAAGGAGACAGAUAUUAGCAAGUGUAUAAAAGAAAAUUUAGCCAGAGAAAACCUAGAAGAGGAAUGAAGAUGGGGGGAU